rnacentral:rRNA from 1 species
CCCAGACUCCUACGGGAGGCAGCAGUGGGGGAUAUUGCACAAUGGGGGGAACCCUGAUGCAGCGACGCCGCGUGGGUGAAGGAGCGUUUCGGCGCGUAAAGCCCUAUCGGCAGGGAAGAAGGAGGACGGUACCUGACUAAGAAGCCCCGGCUAACUACGUGCCAGCAGCCGCGGUAAUACGUAGGGGGCAAGCGUUAUCCGGAUUUACUGGGUGUAAAGGGGGCGCAGACGGCAGCGCAAGCCAGGAGUGAAAGCCCGGGGCCCAACCCCGGGACUGCUCUUGGAACUGCGCGGCUGGAGUGCAGGAGGGGCAGGCGGAAUUCCUGGUGUAGCGGUGAAAUGCGUAGAUAUCAGGAGGAACACCGGUGGCGAAGGCGGCCUGCUGGACUGCGACUGACGUUGAGGCCCGAAAGCGUGGGGAGCAAACAGGAUUAGAUACCCGAGUAG